rnacentral:ncRNA from 1 species
UAUCUGGUUGAUCCUGCCAGUAGUCAUAUGCUUGUCUCAAAGAUUAAGCCAUGCAUGUCUAAGUACAAACCUUAAUACGGUGAAACGCGAAUGGCUCAUUAAAUCAGCUAUGGUUCCUUAGAUCGUCUCAUCCUACUCGGAUAACUGUGGAAAAUCUAGAGCUAAUACGUGCUUACAAGCCCUGACCUCACGGGAGGGGCGCAUUUAUUAGAUCAAAACCAAUCGGGGCUUGCCCCGUCUGCUUGGUGACUCUGGAUAACUUUUGUGCUGAUCGCAUGGCCUCUGCGCUGGCGACGUAUCUUUCAAGUGUCUGCCCUAUCAACUUACGAUGGUAGGUGAUAUGCCUACCAUGGUUAUAACGGGUAACGGGGAAUCAGGGUUCGAUUCCGGAGAGGGAGCCUGAGAAACGGCUACCACAUCUAAGGAAGGCAGCAGCGCGCGCAAAUUACCCACUCCCGGCACGGGGAGGUAGUGACGAAAAAUAACGAUACGGGACUCUUUUGAGGCCCCGUAAUUGGAAUGAGUACACUUUAAAUCCGUUAACAAGUAUCUAUAUUGGAGGGCAAGUCUGGUGCCAGCAGCCGCGGUAAUUCCAGCUCCAAUAGCGUAUAUUAAUGUUGCCUGCCAGUUAAAAAGCUCGUAGUUGGAUCUGAGGACUCGAAUUGGUGGUGCACCAUACGGUGUUACU